CAGUUGGGGUAAAAUAAAGGAGAUGGGGGAAGCCUGGGCUCUGCAUCACAGGCCUGGGAUCCCAGCUACACAGAAGGCUGAUACGGGAAGAUCACAAGUUCAAGGCCAGUGUGGGUAACUUAGACCCUGCCUGGGAAGGAAUGUAAAAUGGAGGGGGUGGAAGGAUGUAGCUUACAUGGAGGGCUCUAGCCUAGAAUCUACCAUUGAGGAUCUGAGGGACAACAGCAGAAGGUAAGAAGGACACUGGAUGCUAGGCUCCCCUCCCACCUCAUCCCCGACUACGCUGGCCUAGUGGAGGUCUACACAGGAGCUCAGCUCUCACCAGGGCAGUGGCACCCACAAGGGACUCCUUGGCCAGGGCAUGGCGAAGGGCGGCAAAGACACCUGGGGUGUUUUGUCUCAAGUAGAGGACCUCGCCCACGCCUCCUGUAAAGUCCACAAAAGCUUCGUUCAUGUGACCUCCUCGCAUUACCUCAUAGGAGCCGUGGAGCCUGUUGGAGCAGGUAGAGAUGAACUGGGGCUCAGCACAAAACUCCUGCAAGAUUAGGGCUCUGGUGAAGCUGGUUAAGGGAAGGCCUGAGCAACAGAGAAGUCAGAGGCCUGGGCCCCUGACACCAGUAUCCCAGGUCCCAGCUUGUCAUAGCCAAGGGCAUCAGGACCAGCAGGGAAGCAAGGGUCACGAAACAGGAUCCCGGAAUCCAGGCAAGCUGCUCGGAUGGCUUCGUAGUUCUGACCCUUAAAGAGCUGUGGGCCCCCAGCUCCAGCCGCGGCCCCGUCGUCCACCAGCUGGAUGGUGACCUUCCUGUUGCCACUCGCCAUCCGGACACUCUGGGCGCACAGAAGGACCCAAGCCCUUUAACCUCCUGAGUCAUGAGGCGGGGCUUCUGUUCCAUUUGUACCCUGUUGGGGGUCUUUAAGCAUCGAGG